rnacentral:snRNA from 1 species
GUGCUCGCUUCAGCAGCACAUACACUAAAAUUGGAACGAUACAGAGAAGAUUAACAUGGCCCCUGUGCAAGGAUGACACGCAAAUUCAUGAAGUGUUCCAUAUUUUU